UCCAGGUGUAGCGGUGAAAUGCGUAGAGAUCUGGAGGAAUACCGGUGGCGAAGGCGGCCCCCUGGACGAAGACUGACGCUCAGGUGCGAAAGCGUGGGGAGCAAACAGGAUUAGAUACCCUGGUAGUCCACGCCGUAAACGAUGUCGACUUGGAGGUUGUGCCCUUGAGGCGUGGCUUCCGGAGCUAACGCGUUAAGUCGACCGCCUGGGGAGUACGGCCGCAAGGUUAAAACUCAAAUGAAUUGACGGGGGCCCGCACAAGCGGUGGAGCAUGUGGUUUAAUUCGAUGCAACGCGAAGAACCUUACCUGGUCUUGACAUCCACGGAAGUUUUCAGAGAUGAGAAUGUGCCUUCGGGAACCGUGAGACAGGUGCUGCAUGGCUGUCGUCAGCUCGUGUUGUGAAAUGUUGGGUUAAGUCCCGCAACGAGCGCAACCCUUAUCCUUUGUUGCCAGCGGUCCGGCCGGGAACUCAAAGGAGACUGCCAGUGAUAAACUGGAGGAAGGUGGGGAUGACGUCAAGUCAUCAUGGCCCUUACGACCAGGGCUACACACGUGCUACAAUGGCGCAUACAAAGAGAAGCGACCUCGCGAGAGCAAGCGGACCUCAUAAAGUGCGUCGUAGUCCGGAUUGGAGUCUGCAACUCGACUCCAUGAAGUCGGAAUCGCUAGUAAUCGUGGAUCAGAAUGCCACGGUGAAUACGUUCCCGGGCCUUGUACACACCGCCCGUCACACCAUGGGAGUGGGUUGCAAAAGAAGUAGGUAGCUUAACCUUCGGGAGGGCGCUUACCACUUUGUGAUUCAUGACUGGGGUGAAGUCGUAACAAGGUAACCGUAGGGGAACCUGCGGUUGGAUCACCUCCUUACCUUAAAGAA
rnacentral:rRNA from 1 species